rnacentral:rRNA from 1 species
AUUGAACGCUGGCGGCAGGCCUAACACAUGCAAGUCGAACGAGUGGCGGACGGGUGAGUAAUGUCUGGGAAACUGCCUGAUGGAGGGGGAUAACUACUGGAAACGGUAGCUAAUACCGCAUACCAUCGGAUGUGCCCAGAUUGGCUUAGCUAGUAGGGGGGGUAAAGGCUCACCUAGGCGGCGAUCCCUAGCUGGUCGGAGAGGAUGACGAGUCACUCUGGAACUGAGACACGGUCAAGACUCCGACGGGAGGCAGCAGUGGGGAAUAUUGCGCAAGGGGCGCAAGCCGGAAGAAGCCAUGCCGCGUGUAGGAAGAAGGCCUUCGGGUUGUAGAGUACUUUCAGCGGGGAGGCGUUACCCGCAGAAGAAGCACCGGCUAACUCCGUGCCAGCAGCCGCGGUAAUAC